GACGAACCGAGCGAACGUUGUUCGGAAUCACUGGGCUUAAAGGGCGCGUAGGCGGCUAGAUGUGUCAAAGGUGAAAUCCCUCGGCUCAACUGAGGAACUGCCUUUGAAACUGUCUGGCUUGAGGCCGGGAGAGGGUAGCGGAAUUCCCAGUGUAGCGGUGAAAUGCGUAGAUAUUGGGAGGAACACCAGUGGCGAAGGCGGCUACCUGGACCGGUUCUGACGCUGAGGCGCGAAAGCGUGGGUAGCAAACAGG
rnacentral:rRNA from 1 species